rnacentral:snRNA from 2 species
AUACUUACACUGGACGGGGUCGACGGCUUAUCAAGAAGAGCCGUGGCCUAGGCUAGUGGUCCACAUUGCACUUGGUGGAUGCGCUGGCUUACCAUCUCCUCAAGUGGGAGAGUGGAUGUCAUAAUUUAUGAUAGAGGAGGUACGGGUUUGUGCUAAAUUUGA